GGUGAAGCAUUUUCCCCUGCCACUCAGAGGAUCGGCAGUGGCCUUGGACAUCAUCUCAGGACGUGAGCCAGAUGACGCCUAGAGCAGCACCCUCCUGCCCUCUGCCCUGUGCGGGGAGGACCACUCCUGGAGAGGGAUGAUGGGCAGAGCCUGGGCCCCUUGCCAUUCCAGUGCUGUCCUCAAGGGAGUCAGGCACUGUACUGGAUGCUGAGGAUUUGGAGAUAAUAAUAAUGAUGAUGCCUAACAUUGGGUACCAGGCCCUGGGAUCAGCAUCUUCACGCAUCAUCCUAUUUAAUCCUAACUAUGUGAGUUUGACAACAACCUUGGAAGGUCAACAGAGUGGAAAUCGUUAGCCCCAUUUUACAGUUGAGGAAACUGAGACUAAGGGAGACCCAGUGACUUUUCCAGCAAGGACCCAAACGUCAAUGCAUUCAAAUCUCAAAUGAUGGUCCUUUGAGUCCAGGUCCAAGGGCUGUUUCUACUCUUGCACAGCUGCUGUUGAAAAUGCGAAGUUAGGUGGGAAUUUGUGCUGUUUGAACCCCGCAGUCAUUUGCCUUG
rnacentral:lncRNA from 1 species